rnacentral:rRNA from 1 species
AUACGUAGGGUGCAAGCGUUAAUCGGAAUUACUGGGCGUAAAGCGUGCGCAGGCGGUUUUGUAAGACAGAGGGGAAAUCCCCGGGCUCAACCUUGGAAAUGCCUUUGUUACUGCAAGGCUAGAGUACGGCAGAGGGGGAUGGAAUUCCGCGUGGAGCAGUGAAAUGCGUAGAUAUGCGGUGUAACACCGAUGGCGAAGGCAAUCCCCUGGGCCAGUACUGACGCUCAUGCACGAAAGCGUGUGGAGCAAACAGGAUUAGAUACCCGGGUAGUCCACUCCCUAAACGAUGUCAACUGGUUGUUGGGGCUUCAUUGACUCAGUAACGAAGCUAACGCGUGAAGUUGACCGCCUGGGGAGUACGGCCGCAAGGUUGAAACUCAAAUGAAUUGGCGGGG